CCAAGCCCUGACUCUAACCUUAACCUUUACCCUACCCCUGACUGUAACCUUAACCUUUACCCUACCCCUGACUCUAACAUUAACCUUUACCCUACCCCUGACUCUAACAUUAACCUUUACCCUAACCCUACCCCUGACUCUAACCUUAACCUUUACCCUAACCCUACCCCUGACUCUAACCUUAACCUUUACCCUAACCCUACCCCUGACUCUAACCUUAAACUCUACCCUACCCCUGACUCUAACCUUAACCUUUACCCUAACCCUACCCCUGAAUCUAACUUUAACCUUUACCCUAACCCAUACCCCUGACUCUAACCUUAACCUUUACCCUACCCCUGACUAUAACCUUAACCUUUACCCUACCCCUGACUAUAACCUUAACCUUAACCCUACCCCUGACUCUAAUCUUAACCUUUACCCUAACCCUACCCCUGACUCUAACCUUAACCUUUACCCUAACCCUACCCCUGACUCUAACUUUAACCUUUACCCUAACCCUACCCCUGACUCCAAAUUUAACCUUUACCCUAACCCUACCCCUGAAUAUAACUUUAACCUUUACCCUAACCCUACCCCUGACUCUAACCUUAACCUUUACCCUACCCCUGACUCUAACCUUAACCUUAACCCUACCCCUGACUCUAAUCUUAACCUUUACCCUAACCCUACCCCUGACUCUAACCUUAACCUUUACCCUAACCCUACCCCUGACUCUAACUUUAACCUUUACCCUAACCCUACCCCUGACUCCAAAUUUAACCUUUACCCUAACCCUACCCCUGAAUAUAACUUUAACCUUUACCCUAACCCUACCCCUGACUCUAACCUUAACCUUUACCCUAUCCCUGACUCUAACCUUAACCUUAACCCUACCCCUGACUCUAAUCUUAACCUUUACCCUAACCCUACCCCUGACUCUAACCUUAACCUUUACCCUAACCCUACCACAGACUCUAACUUUAACCUUUACCCUAACCCUACCCCUGACUCCAAAUUUAACCUUUACCCUAACCCAAGCCCUGACUCUAACUUUAACCUUUACCCUAACCCUGCCCCUGACUCCAAAUUUAACCUUUACCCUAACCCUACCCCUGACUCUAACCUUAACCUUUACCCUAACCCAAGCCCUAACUCUAACGCUAACCUUAACACGAAUAACAUGGCCAGCUACUAUUAUCAGCAAAUCUUCUUGAAUCCCUUGCCAUUUUGACAUGAAUUUAAACUUGAAAUUAGCCUCUUUUGUAAGCUGGAGAAAUUGUUAAGCUCCAAGGAGACAUCAACAUUUCAGCAACCAUGCCUGCAAACAUUUCCACACACAUUUAAGAAAAUGCCAUUAUUGCAAUUGCCAUAGAUUAUCUAACUAACAAAUCUAACAUCAAGCCAACCAAACAAAUCAUAUAAGGCAGAGGGUGGUUUCACAUUGCAGUGUUACAAUCUAAAGUGUUUUGAGAAGAAGUGGCUUGUGAUGUUAUAUAAUUGCAUUGAUUAUCACACAUCAAGAUUGUGACACUGUUAAGAUGCAGCAUUGUGAGUCAUUGGAAAAGCAGGCGAAUUGAAAAUCCAUGUUUCAAUUACAGUGGACUAUGAUUUACUGACACAAAAUCAUGUGAAUGACAUUUGCAAAGGGAAGAAAAACUAUCUCUUACAUACAUUAUAAUUUGAAUUGUACCU
ensembl:lncRNA